AUUGAACGCUGGCGGCAUGCCUUACACAUGCAAGUCGAACGGCAGCGGACCUUCGGGUGCCGGCGAGUGGCGAACGGGUGAGUAAAGUAUCGGAACGUACCCUAGAGUGGGGGAUAACUAUCCGAAAGGAUAGCUAAUACCGCAUAUUCUAUGCGUAGGAAAGCGGGGGAUCUUCGGACCUCGCGCUCUAGGAGCGGCCGAUAUCAGAUUAGCUAGUUGGUGGGGUAAAGGCCUACCAAGGCGACGAUCUGUAGCGGGUCUGAGAGGAUGAUCCGCCACACUGGGACUGAGACACGGCCCAGACUCCUACGGGAGGCAGCAGUGGGGAAUUUUGGACAAUGGGCGCAAGCCUGAUCCAGCCAUGCCGCGUGAGUGAAGAAGGCCUUCGGGUUGUAAAGCUCUUUCGGCCGGGAAGAAAUCGUGUGGGCUAAUAAUCUGCAUGGAUGACGGUACCGGAAUAAGAAGCACCGGCUAACUACGAGCCAGCCGCCGCCGUAA
rnacentral:rRNA from 1 species